ensembl:lncRNA
AACGCUGUAAAUCCAUGAGCCUGGACAUGGGGCAACCUUCCCAGGUCAACACCAAGAAGCUUCUAGGUACUAGAAAAAGUUUUGAACAUCUGAUAUCAGACAGCAAAGCACCGAAGAGGCCUGAAAUGGAAUCUGGUAUCACAACACCGCCUAAGAUGAGAAGAGUGGCUGAAAACGAAUAUGAAAUUGAAACCCCAAGAAUCUCGCAUCACCACCUGCGGGAGGUCUCUGUGUCUAGUCCAACAUCCUGCUUAACGAGGAAGUUCUCACAGAUCCCAAAAUCCAGACGCUGCUUCUUACAGUGCUGCUUUUGGGUUUAAUGGACUCUGGAGGUUUGCUGGACCUUUCUCUAAGUUCCCAGACUAUGCAGAGCUGAUUGUCAAGUUUCUGGAUGCACUGAUUGACACCUAUCUGCCGGGCAUCGAUGAGGCAAUGAGCGAGGAGGGUCUGCACACACCCACCUCUCCAUACCCUCCACCUGUCCAGAGUCAGCUCAGCAUCACUGCUAACCUCAACCUCUCCAUUUCAAUGACCUCACUGGCCACCUCCCAGCAUACACCAGUGGGAUCAGUGGAAAGAGGAUGCUGCUGUCGUUUAGGCCGCUGAUCUCCGUCUCUGUGCUAACUCUGCUGGGCUGGUGCUGGUACAGCUUUAGUAGGAGGAGGACAACGAUGAAUCCAACACAAGUGAACAUGUGUUGUUCGGCCAGAAGCAGCCCUCUUUACUCCUCCCCUGCUGACUCCAGUAUUUUGGGCGAAAGUGAUCUGAGCAUGGACCACAGCAACUCAGGAUCCUCUGAAAUCAAAAACCUUACCAGCACCUCUUCCAAAACAGGCCUCACCAAGGGAGUUCGACCCGAGCCAGAAGGAGAAGUAUCCGUUCGCUUCCCUGAGACUCUCCAAACUGAGCAGGAAAAGGACAACGUUGCUGGUGAAGGUCAUCCAGACUGUGGAGAAGUUAGUGAAGAUGACUCUAGACUUGAGUCUGAUCUGGUUUGUCUCUCUUCAAACCACCUUGCCACCGACUCUCACACUUUAACAGAGCAACAGUCAGGUGCUGUCCGCUUGGACAGUCAUAAUGGCAGCAGCCUGACCACUGAUGGAGGCCUGAACCAGGAGAACCUGGAGAAGAUCAGUUCUGUUCAGCAGACAACAAGUCAUAGAUGCAGCAGCAGAGGACUGGAAAAACCAGGAACCCAGUGAUCCACAUGAGCCUGGAUUUCAGUUUGCUGCUCGAGAAUCAUUCAGCUGCGAUGACAACAGAAGAGUAUGCCUUCAGGAAGCCAGCUCUUUCAGGGAAAAACUACUCAGCCAUUUAAGAACUUCUGGUGAUGAUUCUGGAUGUGGUUCCUGCUUCUCAGAAGAUGCAUCCGAUGCAGAAGGGCUGACCAGAGAGUUGUCUGAGGAAGGUCAAGGGUUUGUUAUGAUCCCCACAGAAGCAAACACAGUCAGCAUUGAGAGCAAAAUGACUCCCUGUAUGCUCGAGGUGACAGAAGGAGAGGAGGAGGCCUUGAGAGGUUCAGAUGUUAAAAGCUGCAUUAGUGCUGACACUCAGGUGAGCAGCUUGGCUCCUCCUCCAACCCCACCCAUCAUUAUCUGAGACAUAGAGGUGCCAGCG